GCGUGCUUAACACAUGCAAGUCGAACGGUGAACACGGAGCUUGCUCUGUGGGAUCAGUGGCGAACGGGUGAGUAACACGUGAGCAACCUGCCCCUGACUCUGGGAUAAGCGCUGGAAACGGCGUCUAAUACUGGAUACGAGUAGCGACCGCAUGGUCAGUUACUGGAAAGAUUUAUUGGUUGGGGAUGGGCUCGCGGCCUAUCAGCUUGUUGGUGAGGUAAUGGCUCACCAAGGCGUCGACGGGUAGCCGGCCUGAGAGGGUGACCGGCCACACUGGGACUGAGACACGGCCCAGACUCCUACGGGAGGCAGCAGUGGGGAAUAUUGCACAAUGGGCGCAAGCCUGAUGCAGCAACGCCGCGUGAGGGAUGACGGCCUUCGGGUUGUAAACCUCUUUUAGCAGGGAAGAAGCGAAAGUGACGGUACCUGCAGAAAAAGCGCCGGCUAACUACGUGCCAGCAGCCGCGGUAAUACGUAGGGCGCAAGCGUUAUCCGGAAUUAUUGGGCGUAAAGAGCUCGUAGGCGGUUUGUCGCGUCUGCUGUGAAAUCCGGAGGCUCAACCUCCGGCCUGCAGUGGGUACGGGCAGACUAAAGUGCGGUAGGGGAGAUUGGAAUUCCUGGUGUACGGUGGAAUGCGCAGAUAUCAGGAGGAACACCGAUGGCGAAGGCA
rnacentral:rRNA from 1 species